rnacentral:lncRNA from 1 species
UUUAAUCUCCAAAAGGAAUCAAGUUAAUAUCUAUUGUAGAUCGGGAUUUAUAAGCAGUCAAAGUGGGUUGACCGGCAUUGACCGGCUGUUCUUCAAACCCAGAAAAUAUUCUAAGUGUCCAGAAAAUAUUAUUUUGGAAAAUGUCAGGCCUUAUAUCACGGUUAUCUUUAAUGUGUUUUGUGUUCUAAAGGUUGUUAUGUGUAGCUUGUUAUGUGGUAUUUAACCUUAAAAACGAAUCAGGUCCAUAUAUAUUAUGGAUUAAGAGUUAUUUAAGGUCAAACUGGGUUGACCGGCAUUGACCGGAAAAUUCUGGGCAGCCCAGAAUUUUCUAAGUGUUUAUUUUUCUUACAAGGUUUGACCAUACUUUAGAUGCUUGAUUUAUUGUUGUUAUGAUGAUGUUAAGUGUUGGAGUUAUAGUCCUACAUGUUGUCUACACACUGGAAUUGAUAGAUCGCGUAAACAUUUCACGAUCAUCAAGUUAUAGAGGUCCAAAGUAGGCAUCACGAACUGUUCUUCACGAAGAACAGCUCUGACAGCUACUUUGAGGGCUGAUUUAUCCCAGAUCUGAUGUUUUUUAGAGGUUAUGAUUGUUGGUAAUUGUAGUCUGGUAUUUCCUCUACAAGACCCAAUUCAUAGAUUUCCCAGAUUCAUUAAGAUCAAAAAGUUAUUCAUGGUCAAAGUAGCGCCCUUGAACUGUCUCUGACAGUGUUCUUG